rnacentral:lncRNA from 1 species
CGGUAAUCAUUUUUCUCUAUGGGCAUUCAAAUGUUCUACUCUACAAUGGACGUGUUUAUAUAAUAUGGUGCUAAAUAGAUGAAACAUUCACUAAUGGAUGGUCUUAGCUCUCCUAAGUUGCUCUCAAGUCAUGAGCCAAAAUCCAAUAAAUUAUGUUCGUGUUUGAAUUUGUGGUGAAAUUGGUAGAUUUACGGUGAAUCAUUGUAAUUUUCAAAAAGCAAAAUUAUAUUUGGGAUUUAAACAAAUUACGAUAGUAUUAUGAUUUUGUUACUUAAAUUCAUCAUUUAAAGAUAAAAAGAAAUACACUAUGGGUUUAUUUAGUGAAAUCGAUUUGUUCAAACUCAAAUAUAGUUU